UCAGACGAUGCGUCAUGCAUAUCAAUAAGCGGAGGAAAAGAAACUAACAAGGAUUCCCCUAGUAACGGCGAGUGAAGCGGGAAGAGCUCAAAUUUGAGAUCUUAAAGGGUUUCCCUUUACGAAUUGUAGUUUAAAGAAGUGUUUUCUGUUGAGGUUUCGGUAAAAGUUCUUUGGAAUAGGACAUCAUAGAGGGUGAGAAUCCCGUAUUUGACCUUUACUUUCAAUUUUGUGAUACACUUUCAAAGAGUCGGAUUGUUUGGGAAUGCAGUCCAAAAUGGGUGGUAAAUUUCAUCUAAAGCUAAAUAUUGGCGAGAGACCGAUAGCGAACAAGUACCGUGAGGGAAAGAUGAAAAGAACUUUGAAAAGAGAGUUAAACAGUACGUGAAAUUGUCAAAAGGGAAGCGUUUGACACCAGUGUUGUUUUUCUGAAAAUCAAUUAAAGAACUGUUUAUGCUAAGCUGUUUAGACUUUAUCAGCUAUCUGUUUAGUUUUGAGCUUUUCUUUAAUGCACUUUUCAGUUAACAAGUCAACAUCAAUUUCUUUUGCUGUAAAAAAGCUUGAGGAAGGUGGCUUGAGAUUCGUCUUAAGUGUUUAUAGCCUCUUGCCUAUGCAGUCGGAGAGAUUGAGGUCUGCAGCGUAGAUCCUUCGGGGCUAAAUGCAUUUGUGCUAAGUUAUAGCAUUUUAUAGACAACUUGUUGACUAUGAUUUGUCUUGUAGCUUACUCGCUUAUGUUAUUUUACCUACGCUUAGGAUGUUGAAUCUGUGCGAGACUAC
rnacentral:rRNA from 1 species